rnacentral:piRNA from 1 species
UGGCCUCAAACUCAGAAAUGCCUCUGCCUC